AACGGGAUUCAAAGGGCUUGCCCUUUGAUGAGAGUGGCGGACGGGUGCGUAACACGUAGAUGACCUACCCUGGAGAGGGGAAUAACCGCUGGAAACGGCGGCUAAUACCCCGGAUGUCAACGAGGUUAGAGCUUGUUGACUAAAGGCAAAGGAAGCGAAAGCGACCGGCGUGCUCUGGGAGGGGUCUGCGGCCCAUCAGCUAGUUGAUAGGGUAACGGCCUACCAAGGCGAAGACGGGUAGGGGGCGUGAGAGCGUGGCCCCCCACACUGGUACUGAAACACGGACCAGAUACCUGCGGGUAGCAGCAGCAAGGGAUAUUGCGCAAUGGGGGAAACCCUGACGCAGCAACGCCGCGUGGAGGAAGAAGGCCUUCGGGUUGUAAACUCCUUUUCUGGGGGAAGAAGGUCUAUGAUAAAAAACUUGAACGGUNCCCCANGAANAAGGCCCGGUAACUACCUGCCAAGCAGCC
rnacentral:rRNA from 1 species